rnacentral:rRNA from 1 species
UGGGGAAUAUUGCACAAUGGGCGGAAGCCUGAUGCAGCGACGCCGCGUGAGGGAUGACGGCCUUCGGGUUGUAAGCCUCUUUCGACCCUGACGAAGCGUGAGUGACGGUAGGGGGAGAAGAAGCACCGGCCAACUACGUGCCAGCAGCCGCGGUAAGACGUAGGGUGCGAGCGUUGUCCGGAUUUAUUGGGCGUAAAGAGCUCGUAGGCGGCUCGUCGCGUCGACCGUGAAAACUUGGGGCUUAACCCUAAGCUUGCGGUUGAUACGGGCGGGCUAGAGUUCGGUAGGGGAGACUGGAAUUCCUGGUGUAGCGGUGAAAUGCGCAGAUAUCAGGAGGAACACCGGUGGCGAAGGCGGGUCUCUGGGCCGAUACUGACGCUGAGGAGCGAAAGCGUGGGGAGCGAACAGG